rnacentral:lncRNA from 1 species
CUCAAGAGCACAUUUUUCAAGACCAGGCAGAGGGAGGAGGCUGCGUAGGGUGGAAAUGGUGCUCUAGGCAGGCCACAGCUGGAGUAAAGCCAUGAAGAUCAGAACCAGCUGAGUUAUUCAGAGAACCACCGUGGUUUGGGUAUUGCCGGAGAGCCCAGCACAAAGAAGAGUGGAGGGAGGCUGGCUGCGGAGGCAGGUGGGGACCAGACCAUGGCCGCUUGGGAGUUUGGACCAGACACUGCUGUACAAGCCAGCCCACAGGGAGGACUGGGCAGACCUAGGCAACAAGCUGCUCUCCUCCUCUCUGGGUGACCCCAGACAGGACUCCUCACUUGUGAGAUUUUACCAGGCAACCAAAAUUGGAUGCUUAGAGCAGGAAGAAGAGUCUACAGAGGGACUCACGGGCAUUUUGGCUUUGAAUGGCCGAAGCCUAGCUCCCCAGGCUCAGGCACAAUGGUGAAUGUAUUUGCUCAUGCAACUGGGGAAUCAAGGGACACUCAUGUUCAGGAAUGGUUGGAUCCAGAGGCUCAAGCCUUCCUUUCAGGCUUCUUUCUCUCCAGCUCUCUGCUCUCUGAUGAGUCUCUCUCCACAGGGCCCCAGCCACCGAAGGCUCAAAAAAAAAAAAAAAAACAAAACAAAACCCUGCAUGGGGAGUUGUGAGAAUCUGAAGCCUGAUACUGCACAGAAAACCUAUGAAGCCACUGGGUCUGGCCUGGAAUGGAAGGCUGAGUGAAUGUGGGAAAAAAUUUUCAAGUGGGAAAAAUGAAACCAAUAAGAUUUUUAAAAAUACAGUCGGUUAUGUAUGUGUGGGUUCUGAGGAUCG